GUGAUCGAGAGAGCAACUAUGAGACUAUGACAGCGACAGUGAUGGAGACAGAGAGACAGCUGAGAUUAAAAAAAUAAUAGAGGUUUUGCGUUUGUUUUGGCUAAAUCCCAAAAUAAUUGGUUCUGUUUUUUUGGGGAGGCUCUAUCGAUAUCGAGUUCUGCUGUUGUGUCGAGAUCGAGUUCCGGUGUUUCGUACGAUCAACUCUUGCCAUCGACAUCAACAUUGAGAGAGAGAGAGAGAGAGAGGGAGAGAAUCCAAUUCCGAUCGUCUUCUUCAGCUUAUAAGGUGAUUGUUUUGAGCGACAAGUUUCGUUUCCUGUUGUGACUAAACGUUGACAACUGCUUUGCUUAUUUUGACCCUGCAACACUCAGAUCAAACUGCGUAAUUGUGCAGCUGACUCUAGAUCUGGAAUUGCAAGCAGCCCCAUUGCCUCAAUAUCAAUCCAUGACUCUAGCAGCCACAGCCGCAGCUCAGAUGAAUCAAAGCAGGUAGCCGCAUACUCAGCAGCAGAUCAAAGCCACACACAAUCGUAACUCCUUAGGCAAGAAAUCAAAACAAAAAAGUGAAAAACCAGAUGCUGAUCAAUUAGCAAUAUAGUUCAACCCAAAAUAGCUAUGGCACUUUGGCUUAUGCAUAUCUGGUAGCCAUUUGUAGUUGUUUUUGGUUGUAGCACACAAUCUUGAUACCAAGGCUACCAGGAAUAAAGUGAAACAGCCUCAAAGCGAAACAAAACCAAAUAACUCCCGGUCACAACCUACAUUAGCUGUAGAAGAAUCAUCUCGAAGGACCUGAUGUAGCUAUUUUUGUUGACACUCAACCAAUUUUGUAUAGCGAAACAGCUUUGCUUAGGAAAUCAAUUUUGUAACCAACUUGGUAUUUCCACUUUUGUAAUAUAACUAUACAAUAUUCCGGAAACUAUGAAUCUAUAAAUUUGACUAAGAAAAAAAACCCGCAGCAUCGCGCGGGGUUCCAUUUC